ACAGGAGGCAGCAGUGGGGAAUAUUGCACAAUGGGGGAAACCCUGAUGCAGCGACGCCGCGUGAGUGAAGAAGUAUUUCGGUAUGUAAAGCUCUAUCAGCAGGGAAGAAAAUGACGGUACCUGACUAAGAAGCCCCGGCUAACUACGUGCCAGCAGCCGCGGUAAUACGUAGGGGGCAAGCGUUAUCCGGAUUUACUGGGUGUAAAGGGAGCGUAGACGGUGAAGCAAGUCAGAAGUGAAAGCUCGGGGCUCAACCCCGGAACUGCUUUUGAAACUGUUUUACUAGAGUGCAGGAGAGGUAAGCGGAAUUCCUAGUGUAGCGGUGAAAUGCGUAGAUAUUAGGAGGAACACCAGUGGCGAAGGCGGCUUACUGGACUGUAACUGACGUUGAGGCUCGAAAGCGUGGGGAGCAAACAGGAUUAGAUACCCUGGUA
rnacentral:rRNA from 1 species